GUCUACAGCGAUACCACACUGAAAACGCCAGAUCAAGUCUGAUCUCACAAGCUAAACAGAGCUGGACCUACAAGGGGACACUGUGAUUU
rnacentral:rRNA from 14 species